UACAGAGGGUGCAAGCGUUGUUCGGAAUUACUGGGCGUAAAGCGCACGUAGGCGGCUUUGUAAGUUAGAGGUGAAAGCCCGGGGCUCAACUCCGGAAUUGCCUUUAAGACUGCAUCGCUAGAAUUGUGGAGAGGUAAGUGGGAUUCCGAGUGUAGAGGUGAAAUUCGUAGAUAUUCGGAAGAACACCAGUGGCGAAGGCGACUUACUGGACACAUAUUGACGCUGAGGUGCGAAAGCGUGGGGAGCAAACAGG
rnacentral:rRNA from 1 species